rnacentral:miRNA from 1 species
AUUUCGUCUGCCAACCCGCA